rnacentral:lncRNA from 1 species
GCCCCAUCUAUUUUCAUGCGAAAAAAAAUCCCAACACCCUAUUUUUUACAUGAGAAUUUCCCACGCCCCAAGAGGAGUGCCACCCCACUUCUUUGUUUCAUCCAUGAAAAAAAAAGAGGCACCCCAUCUCUCUUCUUCAUGUUGCCCAAAGCAAGGAGGGGGCGUCCAAGAGUUGGACGCCCCAACAUCCCACACGCCA